GAGGAAGGAGGGAGGCGUGCCUAAUACAUGCAAGUCGAGCGAACAGACGAGGAGCUUGCUCCUCUGACGUUAGCGGCGGACGGGUGAGUAACACGUGGAUAACCUACCUAUAAGACUGGGAUAACUUCGGGAAACCGGAGCUAAUACCGGAUAAUAUAUUGAACCGCAUGGUUCAAUAGUGAAAGACGGUUUUGCUGUCACUUAUAGAUGGAUCCGCGCCGCAUUAGCUAGUUGGUAAGGUAACGGCUUACCAAGGCAACGAUGCGUAGCCGACCUGAGAGGGUGAUCGGCCACACUGGAACUGAGACACGGUCCAGACUCCUACGGGAGGCAGCAGUAGGGAAUCUUCCGCAAUGGGCGAAAGCCUGACGGAGCAACGCCGCGUGAGUGAUGGAGGUCUUCGGAUCGUAAAACUCUGUUAUUAGGGAAGAACAAAUGUGUAAGUAACUAUGCACGUCUUGACGGUACCUAAUCAGAAAGCCACGGCUAACUACGUG
rnacentral:rRNA from 1 species